rnacentral:rRNA from 1 species
UACGUAGGGUGCAAGCGUUGUCCGGAAUUAUUGGGCGUAAAGAGCUCGUAGGCGGUUUGUCGCGUCUGCUGUGAAAACUCAGGGCUUAACCCUGAGCCUGCAGUGGGUACGGGCAGACUAGAGUGUGGUAGGGGAGAUCGGAAUUCCUGGUGUAGCGGUGGAAUGCGCAGAUAUCAGGAGGAACACCCAUAGCGAAGGCAGCUUGCUGGGACGUUACUGACGCUAAGGCGCGAAAGCGUGGGGAGCGAACAGG